AGAGUUUGAUUAUGGCUCAGGAUGAACGCUAGCUACAGGCUUAACACAUGCAAGUCGAGGGGCAGCAUGAGCUUAGCUUGCUAAGCUUGAUGGCGACCGGCGCACGGGUGAGUAACGCGUAUCCAACUUCCCCUUAGUAGGGCAUAGCCCGGUGAAAAUCGGAUUAAUACCCUAUGUUCUUCACAGCGGGCAUCUAACGUGAAGCAAAGGUUCACCGCUAAGGGAUGGGGAUGCGUCUGAUUAGGUAGUCGGCGGGUAACGGCCCACCGAGCCAUCGAUCAGUAGGGGUUCUGAGAGGAAGGUCCCCCACAUUGGAACUGAGACACGGUCCAAACUCCUACGGGAGGCAGCAGUGAGGAAUAUUGGUCAAUGGUCGAGAGACUGAACCAGCCAAGUAGCGUGCCAGGAUGACGGCCCUAUGGGUUGUAAACUGCUUUUAUGCGGGGAUAAAGUCACCCACGUGUGGGUGUUUGCAGGUACCGCAUGAAUAAGGACCGGCUAAUUCCGUGCCAGCCGCGGC
rnacentral:rRNA from 1 species